AAACACUCUGGAGAGUCUCCGAAAAAGGAGCGCCGAAGGUGUAAGACGGGUGCAGGUCCAUGGCACCGGUUGAUCUCUCAGGCAAAAGGACAGGGCA
rnacentral:ncRNA from 1 species